rnacentral:rRNA from 1 species
AACGAACGCUGGCGGCAUGCCUAACACAUGCAAGUCGAACGAGACCUUCGGGUCUAGUGGCGCACGGGUGCGUAACGCGUGGGAACCUGCCCUUAGGUUCGGAAUAACUCCCCGAAAGGGGUGCUAAUACCGGAUAAUGUCUUCGGACCAAGGAUUUAUCGCCUUUGGAUGGGCCCGCGUUGGAUUAGCUAGUUGGUAGGGUAAAAGCCUACCACGGCGACGAUCCAUAGCUGGUCUGAGAGGAUGAUCAGCCACACUGGGACUGAGACACGGCCCAGAAUCCUACGGGAGGCAGCAGUGGGGAAUAUUGGACAAUGGGGGAAAGCCUGAUCCAGCAAUGACGCGUGAGUGAUGAAGGCAGUAGGGUUGUAAAGCGCUUUUAACCGGGAUGAUAAUGACAGUACCGGGAGAAUAAGCUCCGGCUAACUCCGUG